AUCACCUGGGGCUGAGCUGCGCGGUGGCCGCAGGGACAGGUCCCCUGUCCUUCACCUGGCACCGGGGGGGCUCGGGCACAAUGUUGGUAACUGGGCCCCACCUGGAGCUGCGAGACAUUGGAGACAAUGAUAGCAGCCACUAUCACUGCCGAGUCAGCAACGGGGACAGUGUGGCCGAGAGUGUCCCCCUGAAUGUCACCGUCCUGGGUGCGAGAGACCCUCGGGCUGGGGGUGACCCCACCCACAGCAGCCCCAUCCCACCUUGCCUGGUGCCAGCCCUGUCUGUGUCCCCACAGCGCCAGUGGCCAAUGCCACCAUCACCCCCGGUCCCCUGUCACACCAGGUGCACACAGGUGACCCCGUGACACUGAGCUGCUCGGUGCAGGCGGGCUCAGCCCCUGUCACCUUCACCUGGCUGCACAACGGGCAGGAGGUGGCCCGAGGUCCCGUCCUGGAGCUUGGUGACGUCAGUGUGGGACAUUUGGGCAUCUACCAGUGCGUGGCCACCAACCAGCUGGGACAGGAUGGGCACCGCGUGUUCCGGGCACUCAGCCUCAAGCUGGCCCUGGAGGUGACACCACAAGGACACUGGAACAUAGUGGCCACAGGGGUCCGUGGGUCCCAUUUGUUCCUGGUCCCGCUUGUGGCUGUCAUUGUGGCCUGGCACCGCUGGCACUGCCUGGCCUCCAGGAAGCACCAGGAAAGGUGAGUGAGGGUCUCCAGCUGUGGCCCCCCUUUUACCCUCACCCCACAACUCUCCAUCCCCUCCCACACAUCCCCUUUAUCCCCUCAGGGCCCCCCCGGAGCCCCCAGCCCCCCCAGAGGAGGGGGAGGUUCUGUACACCCAUGUCACGAGCACCAAACAGACACGGCGUGAGUUCAGUGCUGGGGAGACAGUGACACGUCACCACCGGUGUCACCCCCACCUUGGUCCCCCAACUGGUGUCUCUUGAAGGGCCCCCCCAUGUCACCGUCCCCCAGGAAGCCCCGGUGGCCUACAUGGAGCCGCCGGGACCCCACGGGCGACUGCGGAAGCCCAGUGACAUCUACGAGAUUGCACCGUGACACUUGGGAUGUCGGAGUCCAGGACACCCCUCUGGCCGCCCUGGAGGGUUUGGAGACCGGACAGGGGGGUCUGGGAUCUGUACAAGGGGCUCAGCCAGCCUCACACAGAGCCCAGGAGGACACUGCCUCUGAUCCCUGCCAUGGGAGUGAGUGCCCACGUUGUAUGAAGAAUCACAACACAAGAGAAUUCGAAAUGAGUAGUAGUUAGUUUAUCACAGACUGUGAAUGUAGAAUCUAGGAUUUUUAGUGUAUGGCUUUGAAGAGGCAAGAUGAAGGAAUUGGGGAGUGUUCCUGUCCUCCUUGUUCUUGUUCUUUUCCCCCAUUUUCUGCUGAGUUGGAUCACAAGGGUUAGGUUAGAGUAGAAAUGACAUGUUAACAUACGUAGUAAUUAUUGGUAAGAUUUUGUAAAUAAAAAGUUUGUUGUGGAUGGUGGUUAGACCAGAGCAAUGGAACAAAGGGUCCGGGACCCUCUGACCCGCCCAGUCUGCCACGUGUCCUGCUCUGCUCGGGACGCCCUGCAGAGCUGAGAAAGAACUGAGAGAUAAUGAAAGAAUAAACACCCUUGGAGGCACAGACUGGCAGACUCUGUUUGUUUUCUCUGGCUCUGGACCUUUCAGGCAAGAAAAGCUCGAAAACCCUCCACACCUCAGGGAACAGCAACUCCGAGGAGAACCUCAGGGGACAGCAACCCUGAGAUUGGGGGGCUGGGGGGCACUGGGGGUCCUCACCCAUGGGCAACCACCCAUGUGGGUGCUGCCACUAAAAACUGGCCCUGCCAGUGGAGGUCCCCUGCGCAAUUCCCGGCAUUCCUGCCCCACCUGCAUGGCCAGGUGCUGUUCCCGUGGCCACCUGCUCCAGCCUCAGCCGCUGCUCCAGCUCGGCCUUCCUUGCCGGCCAGCAUCCAGCACUGGCCACAUGGCUCAGAAUCAUGCCCAACACCAGCAAAAACCACCAAGAGAAACUCUUCUUGGCAGCCAAAAUAGCUCCCUGUGGGCAGACCUGGGGGCACCUGUCCCCCAAAAUGUGUCCAAUGCCCAAAACACCCAGGAAAGGCACCAGAGCCGUGUGUUUGUGCUCAGGGAUGGUUUAGGGGCACAGCUGGGCAUUCGGAACCCCUGCCCUAAUUACAUCGCCUCUUUAAGGCUCGGCAGCACCCAAAGCAGAACAGGAGCAUUGGACCAACCACCUCCAAUUUCGCCCCAUUUUGCCCUCUCAAGCCACUGCUCCUGGCCCCGGCUGUCCCUGUGCUCCAGCUGCAGCCGCAGAGCCCUCGGGGCCAGCCCUUUUUCCCCCACACAAUUCUCACCUUUGCAGUAGCUCUAAAGCUGCCACAAUCCAAGCCAAGGGGGCAGGGGGGACCCACAGGUGCUGGCUGCCCCCUGGGGCUGGCCAGAGCAGGGCUGGCCAAUGCCCAUCCCUGUGCAGUGGGGCUGGGCAGUGGCUGGGCCCCACACUUGGAUGGCCAGUGGCUUCCAGGAGGAGGAGUUGGGGAGCUCCUUCCUGCCUGGGGCUCCAUUCCCCAGCUGCUCUUGCCGGCUCACAUCCUGCAGGGGACGAGUUAGAAUGGAGAAGUUUGGAACAGGAGCCCUGAUCCCUGCAGCUCCUGCUACAGCUUCAGAGUUUUUGCUACUCUUCCUUUGCCCCCCUGGGCUGUGCCUCCCCCGCCGUUCCAGCUGCCACUCCCAGGGUUCCUGCUGCAGUCCGUUUUGCCAUCCGCAGUGGCUCCGUUCCCCGCUGCCCCCACCCCGUCAGGGAGGGAAGGAAGCUUCUCUCUCUCUCCCGCCGGUGGAGUCUCCGCUAACCACGGAGAGAGACGGCCGAGCCCGCGCCACAGCGCCCCCUGCAGCCGUGGGGGAAUCAUCGCACCCGCCCUGCCCGGCCGGGAGCCCCCAGUGCCCCUGCCGGCCGUGCCCGGAACUGCACCGGAGGGGAAGAGCCUGCGGCCGAGACAGGGCUGGGCCUGGGUUUGUGCUUUGGUUUGAUGUUGCUGGUGGUGCUGUCGUUUGUUUGUCUUGUUUUACAUAUUCUAGUAAAGAACUGUUAUUCCUUUUCCCAUAUCUCUGCCUGAAAUCCCUGUAAUUUUGAAGUUAUAAUACUCUGGAGGGAAGGUGGGCAUAUUUUCCAUUCCAAGAGAGGUUCCAGCCUCCCUUGGCAGACACCUUUCAAACAGGAUACCAUCCCCUUGGCAGCAGAGGGCACGGCACGGUUUGUCUUGACAUGGAGCAGCAUCCAGAGCUCCUGGAACUGACUGGAAACUCAGCCCCACCCUGUGCCAUGGGCUCAUUCUGGCUGCUGUAGAAAAGGACGAGGCACCAGAACACCAAAAGGGUCUUGAUAACAUCGCUGUGUCAGGAACAUGGCAGAGUAGCAUUUUGGGAUAGGGGAGAAGAGAACCCAGAGCCCCUUGAAGGCCAUUUUGGCCAUCAGAGCAAGGAAGGUCCAGGGCCCUGCCAGUUUCCUCUGCUGCAGGAAAAGUGCUGGGAGAAAUGUCCAGGGUUUGUUCCUUUUGGGGAGCUCUCCCUAGAAAUUGUUCCUUUUGUGACCCUUUGGAUUCUUAACCUUGUUGCUGUUGCUGCUGGUUUUGUUCUCUCUUUGCUGUUUACAGGAAAUUUUUCUUCUCUCAGCCCUUUGAGAUUUUUGCCUUUUGUGCCUCCACUGCCAGGGGCUGGGGCAGCAGACCCUGAUUUUUAGUGACAACCCAGAAUUGGAGAAUCCCAUUCCUAAACACCAACAGAGCUCAACAAAGCAACACAUUUCUGCCAGUUUAACCAAAAAGCUGCAUUUUGGUCCAAUGACAGGGAAAUGAGUCCUGUGUAUCCCUGGCACUGGAGGAGAGAUGAGGAGCCAUGGGUGUACUGGGAGUGCUGAGAGGGGGAUUGCAGAGCCACUGGGAGUGCAGGGGUGCUGGGAGACAGAAUGGGAAACACCUGGAUCUACUGGGAGCAAGGCAGAGGCACUGGGAGGGGAAAUAGGGAGCCCCUGGGGCUACUGCGAGCACUGUGGGGAGGGAUUGGGGAAGUCUGUGAGGGCACUGGGAGCACUUGGAUGUGGAAUGGGGAGCCACUGGUUGUAGUGGAAGGGGGGUGGGGAAGGCCUUGGGGGUUCUGGGGGCAUGGGGAGCUCUGGGUGCCCUGUGCAGCCCCACACGUGACCCCCAAUUGUGCCCACCAACCCGUGACUGUUGGGCACCCACGGGAGCAGUGGGGGGGACUCACGUGUGGCUGCCCAUGGGUGGGGUCUUCCACUGCCCCCCAGGUCCCCCAGAGCCCCCCAGUGCCCACCCGUGCCCUGAGUGUCACAGCACGUUCCUGUGGAUGUCACUGAGUUCCCGCAGUCGCCCGUGGGGUCCCCGCAGCUCUGCGUAGGUCACCCGGGGAUCCUGGAGUGUGGUGGCAUGGGGGGACGCUGCGAGAGACACUGGCUGUGGGAUCUGGGUGGGGGUGACACUCUUGGGGGACG